CAGUCGCCGCGGGAAUACGUAGGUGGCAAGCGUUGUCCGGAAUUAUUGGGCGUAAAGCGCGCGCAGGUGGUUUAAUAAGUCUGAUGUGAAAGCCCACGGCUCAACCGUGGAGGGUCAUUGGAAACUGUUAAACUUGAGUGCAGGAGAGAAAAGUGGAAUUCCUAGUGUAGCGGUGAAAUACGUAGAGAUUAGGAGGAACACCAGUGGCGAAGGCGGCUUUUUGGCCUGUAACUGACACUGAGGCGCGAAAGCGUGGGGAGCAAACAGGAUUAGAUACCCCGGUAGUCCCUGUCUCUUAUAC
rnacentral:rRNA from 1 species